CAGACCAUUACAAUGUCUAAUCACCCUUUCUGUGAAGAAAUUCCUCCAACCUAAACCUCCCCUGUUGUACUAGAGGAGGCUAAGCUGAGUCCCCCAAAAGAUGACACCUCCACCACAUCCAUCCUCGUCCCACAAUCCCGCUUCUCUGAGAUUUCCAGUUUUCUGGUGGGGGCUGGGACAAAUGUGACACAAACGUGACAAAUCCCCCCCAGCCCCGAGAGCAGGGUGUUUUCAGGCACCAUUGACAUCUGCGGCACCCAGCGCUGGACGCUGCCUCUCUCACGUCCCUCUCGGCAACAUCUGACAUUCCUAAUGGCUUCUGACAACGUUAACUCGCUUUAAUUUGUGUCCUGCCCUUCCCAGAACGUGCAGUUCUCAGACACAUCAGCUCCUGGGUGCUUCCCUUGCUCAGGGCUGUUCUGGGCAGCCGGGGCCGAGCCCCUGCAGCUGAUUCCUGCCCUUUCUCCUCACACCCCCACCCUGCUCCCUUAUCCCGGCUGUCCUUGAGGAGAUACUGACCCAUGCUGGGCUUUCUCCCCCAGCCCUGCUGUUAUUUGAUUAAGGUGCAGUCCCGAGUCAAUGGGAAAGUGCUCCCCGGACCACUGGCACUAAUUGGACCCCAUUGCAGCAGUUUCACCCAGACCUGCAAUUCUCUGUUGAUCUUCCGGGUCGUUGCUUCAAACGUUGCUGUUUGCACAGUAUUUGGCAACCGGGAAUGUUGGCGGGGUGUUUGUUCACAGCUGCCCAACCCCUUCCCUCCUGCUGCCCCAUAAAGAGGGUUUCAGCCGAUCCCAUUAAAACCCAGGAGCUUACUUUAAGACAAGAAACCCUGUGAGGCCUCUGGAGCAUUUGUGCUUAUCCUCGGGCAUAUUUUUUCCCACGUUCACUGCAAUACUCUGCUGGUUAAGCUCCUAAAAGGUUUUCCAGUGAGACGUACGGAGAACUGUAUAGGGCAGGGCUAAGGCACAACGCUUGAUUGUGGAUAUCGAUCCCUCGGCAUUAUUCAAUACCUGGCCUUAUCCCAAACACAGACAUAGACUUUAGUGCAGCUUUUAAACGUUGAAAGCCUUUGUUUGUCAGAGUGGGGGAGCGUGGGGCCGUGACGGGAGGGACGUUUUUGUAAUGCCAGAUUGAUUGAGGCUGCAGCAGUUUUGCUGUUGACAGGAGUUUGUGCAGGAAGACGGAUCGUGCGUGCUCAGUCUCCCUGCAAGGCCUCCCUGUGUUCAGAAUCAGGGACAGGGACACGGCUCUGUUUAUUUUAUUUCUGAGUGUUACAAUUUUCCAGCCUGCCCUCCCCAGGUGAAAGAUGGCAGAGGGGAAUACAGGUGAUGCAGCGAGAGAUCUGCAGGAGGGGAGUUAAAACACAUCAGGCACAUUGAAAUGUAACAGAUAAAGACCUCAGGGUCAUGAUAAUCCCAAGAACAAGCAGGGGAAGGAUGAUAAAGGUGGAUUUAGUGCUCCAAGAAUUGAAUUUGACACAGCUAGACCCCCCAAAACCAUGGACUCAAACCCAGGAAAGCCUUUUUCAGUCCUUUUUCAUCUUAAAUUGAUAAAUUCCUUCCCAGGUGGCCUCCCAUGCUGCAAAGUUUGAGAAAAUUCCCUGGUAUUUCCCUUGUUCAGGAAGCCAGAGCCCAUCUUAUGCCAUCACACUGUCCUGCUACAGAAGCAGAAAUAAUUUCACUGGGAUUAUUGGCAUAUAUCCUUUGUGUUAUUAAAAUGUGGUGAAGAACCCUGAGGAAUUUAUCUAAACAUUCAAUCGCUCCCUGCCUGAAUGACUCACAGGUCCAUAAAAAAGCUGGAAGAAUUGGAGCCAUGGGAUGUGCACGUCCUUCGUGACAACGCAGCAGCAGAAAUUAGCACUCAUCAAUCAUUUGGUGUGCAGACCUUUGAGAUCUGAAAGGACACGCAUUCCCUUUGUUUUCUCCUCUAUCCUACAUCUUGUCUAGAUUUCCUGAGCUCCUCAAAGCUCACUCAGGGACUUACCUGAACAGAUGGAGUCCAGCAAUUAAGAAGAACCCAGCAUUCCUGUGUAUGGAUAACAGGAAUAUCUUUCACUGGAUUAGACAAAAUAAAAAUGAAACCCCUGGUAUUUCAACAGCGGCCUAAGAGGACCAGAGGAAAAGGCACCAUAGCCAGGCCCCGAGGAUGAGGUUACCAAAAAGUAAGAGGAAAUAGAAACCACUGCUGAGAAAACGUGAGCAAGGAGUUCCAACCUCGAGUUUCCACGGGAUCAGCGAUGGGCUUUGCUCUUCUCCCUAUCCCGUGAACUUCCAGCAGCACAAGCACACGGAGAAUCUCAGAGAGGAGCAGCAGUGAUGCCAAAAACAUCUAUGGCACAAGUCAAGUCGCUGCCUGGAGUACUUGCACCUGCUUUCCCAGGACUGGCCUGCAGAGCCUGCAGCUGCUUCCCUGCAGCGGGAAUGGCGUCAGUUGGGAAUUCGUGGUUGGACUCAAUGACGUUAAUUAAAGCUCUUUUCCAACCUAACGAUUCCAUGUCUCUUUACAUGAUCUGUGUAUGGAAAUAUGCAAAAUCCUCAGAGUGAGAGUCAUCGUUGCUGGGGAACUUCAAGCAGAGAGGAACUGAGAGCCCAGGACAGGGUGAGGAUCCCUUCAGGGCCCUGGACUCAGGGCUCACACACAAUCCCCAGGCUGGUGAAACUCCUCCCCAUCCCUUCACCACUUCGGACAACCUCCAAAGCACAACUUCUGCCUCUUCUUUCAAGGGUUUAUGGCACCAUUUUCACAGUACUUUGCAUAAUUAUGGCUUUGUUCACUCAAAAAAAAUCAUGAGAUUGACUAAAAUCUUUGCUUUUAUAAAGAAUACACCAGGAGGAUUUCUCUGGCACUGCUGGUAGCUCAGGCCACAGGACUCCAAAAUCACAUUUCCAAAUCUUACCAGUAACUCCAUGGUUAAAUUAAGCAGGUAAUUAAUUGUGUAACUACACCCUGCAACAGCAAUCGAAGAAUGGCAUUGAGGAGACACGAAUCCAAGCACUCCCAAACCAGAGAAAAGCCUGGAAUCUGGCUGCCUGUUCUUUCUCCACAGCUUCUGUGCGUAACACCCCACCAGGCUCUACAAAUGCUGACUGUUUUUCCCUGAGACAGCUGCCUUGCCCGGAAUGGAGGAUGCUCCAUAAAGGGAACAGCUAUUCAGAGUUAUCCUCAUUCAUCAGUGCCUGAUUUGUCAUUCCAGCCCUGCUCUAGAACCAGAAACUCUUUCCCAGGCCUUUUCCCAUUCCCUCUCACUGCAGGGAGUCAGUCAGGGCUGCCCAAAACUUGGACGUCAGCUUGAAGAAUGAAGUCCUCUGGAUCCACAUAUUCCCAGAGGUCGGAAUCCCCUUUUUCUUUCCCAGAAGUGUUUCUCUUUUCCCCAAUUAGAUACAAACCAAACCCUGUAGAGAGGACUUUUUCUCCUGGCCAUCCCUCACACAGCCCUGCUUAUUUAUCCACUGUGCUGCCUGAGAACUUUGCUUCUGUCAAAGAAAAAUUCAUGAAUUCCUUUCCUCCAGGAACAUCAGCAUGUUCUCAGAAUCACAGAGUCACAGAAUGCCCUAAGUUGGAAGGAGCCCCCAAGAAUCAUCAAAAGUCCAGUUUCUUCUGCUGUCCUCUACAUUUAUUGAUCCCACUUGGGUGACCCCCACUUCCCAAAUUUCUGCAUCUUCUCCCUCCCUCUUUGCUUGUUCCAUCUAAACUUCCCUUCCACUUCCUGUCCCCUCUCCCCAAACCCAAAUAAACCCACAUUCUUGACCCCUAA